CUGAAACCACAUUAGCUUUCUGCCCUCUGCUACAGAUGUGUCUGACGUGGACCUCGGGAUGCUGGCAGGGCCAGGCUCCUUCUGGAGACAGUAAAGAUGGCCCAUUCCUUGUUCAUACAGCGGUGUUGGCUGAAGGUCACCCUAACUACUGAGGGCUGCCUACCUUCCUCACUCUGUUCCCCUUCCUGGUCAUCAAAGACAUCAAGGGCCCUGAGCAUAUUAGACAAGCCCACAAGACCCAUCUUUGCAGGCUUAUGGGAUACUAGCCAGGUUGCUAGACAGACCUGCAAGCCCACACACCUGGCACAAGAGGACAGAGAGUCCAAGAGAGUCCAAGAGGCAGUAUGCAGGUGUCCAGCUGCUCAUAUGAAGAGCUCUGGGAAGAGCUGAUAGUAGCCCAGGUCCACCUCUGGACCUGGAGGGCCCAGGCCUGGCCAAGGAGUCUGUAGUCAUCAAUCAAAACCACUACAAACAUAGCUUCCUUGUCCUUUACAGUCAGCGGGAACACUGAUCCCGGACUUCCACGUGGUCUCUGGUAUCAGCAUAGCCUCCGGUGGUAGAACAGACCACAGACAUCAACACGAAUGUGGUCACGUUUAAUGAUUCUCCUUCCUCUGCGUCAUCUGUUCAGCUGUCCUGUUGAGGACGGUGGCUGAGCCUGGUGUGUUCGAGCUCCUCUUCUCUGCGUGGUUCUUGAAUAAAAUCCCCCACCUGCACC
rnacentral:lncRNA from 1 species